rnacentral:rRNA from 1 species
UACGAAGGGGGCGAGCGUUGUUCGGAAUUACUGGGCGUAAAGGGCGCGUAGGCGGUGCACCAAGUCAGGCGUGAAAGCCCCGGGCUCAACCUGGGAACGGCGCUUGGGACUGGUGCGCUCGAGUUCGGGAGAGGACGGCGGAAUUCCCAGUGUAGAGGUGAAAUUCGUAGAUAUUGGGAAGAACACCGAUGGCGAAGGCAGCCGUCUGGACCGACACUGACGCUGAGGCGCGAAAGCGUGGGGAGCAAACAGGAUUAGAAACCCCCGU